AUGUGAAUUCCUACAACAUAGAAUUAAUGCACCGGAUCCCAUUAGAACUCUGUAGUUAAGCAUGCUCAGGCUAGAGUAGUACUAGGAUGGGUGACUACCUGGGAAGUCCUAGUGUUUUACAUG
rnacentral:rRNA from 1 species